CUCAAUGAAAUUUAAAUAGCCGCAAUUUAUUGUGCUAAGGUAGCAUAAUCAUUUGUCUUUUAAUUAAAGACUAGAACAAAAGAUUUAACAUUUUUAUUUCUUUCUUACAUAUAAUUAUUUAAUCUAUCUUAAAUAUAAAAAGAUAUUUAUUUUAUAAAAAGACGACAAGACCCUAUUGAACUUAACUAAAGUUAAACUGGGGCAGUUAAUUAAAUAUAAUUUUAAUUUAAAUAUAAAAAACACCUUGUAUAAUUAAAUUUAUCAAGUUACCAUAGGGAUAACAGCGUAAUAAUUUUCUAUAGUUCUUAUUUAAAAAUAUAUUUGCGACCUCGAUGUUGAAUUAAUAAUCUAUUAAAUGCAAUAAUUUAAAAAGAAAGUCUGUUCGACUU
rnacentral:rRNA from 1 species